UACGGAAGGCAGCAGUGGGGAAUAUUGCACAAUGGGCGCAAGCCUGAUGCAGCCAUGCCGCGUGUAUGAAGAAGGCCUUCGGGUUGUAAAGUACUUUCAGCGGGGAGGAAGGCGAUGCGGUUAAUAACCGCGUCGAUUGACGUUACCCGCAGAAGAAGCACCGGCUAACUCCGUGCCAGCAGCCGCGGUAAUACGGAGGGUGCAAGCGUUAAUCGGAAUUACUGGGCGUAAAGCGCACGCAGGCGGUCUGUUAAGUCAGAUGUGAAAUCCCCGGGCUUAACCUGGGAACUGCAUUUUGAACUGGCAGGCUUGAGUCUUGUAGAGGGGGUAGAAUUCCAGGUGUAGCGGUGAAAUGCGUAGAGAUCUGGAGGAAUACCGGUGGCGAAGGCGGCCCCUGGACAAAGCUGACGCUCAGGUGCGAAAGCGUGGGGAGCAAACGAGGAUUAGAUACC
rnacentral:rRNA from 1 species